CAGCAGCCGCGGUAACACGUAGGUGGCAAGCGUUGUCCGGAAUCAUUGGGCGUAAAGGGCUCGCAGGCGGUUUCUUAAGUCUGAUGUGAAAGCCCCCGGCUCAACCGGGGAGGGUCAUUGGAAACUGGGAAACUUGAGUGCAGAAGAGGAGAGUGGAAUUCCACGUGUAGCGGUGAAAUGCGUAGAGAUGUGGAGGAACACCAGUGGCGAAGGCGACUCUCUGGUCUGUAACUGACGCUGAGGAGCGAAAGCGUGGGGAGCGAACAGGAUUAGAUACCCCCGUAGUCCCUGUCUCUUAUAC
rnacentral:rRNA from 1 species